UAGUCUUCUAUAGAUCCUGUCUACACCCAUGUCUAUUGCGUACUUAUGUUUCCUCGGUGGACUUGUUCCGCCGACUGGACUCUUCAAAACCUUUUGUAAUUGUAAUCAGCGUCUGAAAAAUAUUUAAUAUUUACAACUUUCAACAACGGAUCUCUUGGUUCUGGCAUCGAUGAAGAACGCAGCGAAAUGCGAUAAGUAGUGUGAAUUGCAGAAUUCAGUGAAUCAUCGAAUCUUUGAACGCACAUUGCGCCCCUUGGUAUUCCAUGGGGCAUGCCUGUUCGAGCGUCAUUUGUACCCUCAAGCUCUGCUUGGUGUUGGGUGUUUGUCGGAUCCUCUGCGAUUCGACUCGCCUUAAAUUUAUUGGCAGCCGGCAUAUUGGCCUAGGAGCGCAGCACAUUUUGCGAUCGUAGCCUGUAUUCUAGCAUCCACUAAGCUCAAUUAUCACUUUUGACCUCGGAUCAGGUAGGGAUACCCGCUGAACUUAAGCAUAUCAAU
rnacentral:rRNA from 1 species